GACGUAGGAUGCAAGCGUUAUCCGGAUUUACUGGGUGUAAAGGGUGCGUAGGUGGUUUAAUAAGUUGGUUGUUAAAUCCUUGUGCUCAACACAAGGGCUGCAACCAAAACUGUUAAACUAGAGGUCGGGAGAGGUAAGCAGAACUGCCGGUGUAGGGGUGAAAUCCGUUGAUAUCGGCAGGAAUACCAAAAGCGAAGGCAGCUUACUAGAACGAUCCUGACACUGAGGCACGAAAGCGUGGGGAGCAAAAAGG
rnacentral:rRNA from 1 species